rnacentral:rRNA from 1 species
GCGUGUGUGAAGAAGGUCUUCGGAUUGUAAAGCACUUUCGACGGGGACGAUGAUGACGGUACCCGUAGAAGAAGCCCCGGCUAACUUCGUGCCAGCAGCCGCGGUAAUACGAAGGGGGCUAGCGUUGCUCGGAAUGACUGGGCGUAAAGGGCGCGUAGGCGGCGAUCACAGUCAGGCGUGAAAUUCCUGGGCUCAACCUGGGGGCUGCGCUUGAUACGUGGUUGCUUGAGUGUGGAAGAGGGUCGUGGAAUUCCCAGUGUAGAGGUGAAAUUCGU